GCUGUAUAUCUAUGUGUUUGAGAUUAAAUUAGAUGAUAGAAUAGAAACCGAAAUUGUUCAUUUUCUCUCUAUACCUGUAGAUGUGAUUCUAUAUGAUAAGUAACUAUGCUUCGGUUCAUUCUAAUGCCUUGUGAAUGUGAUUCUAUAUGGCCAGUAGCUAUGCGACAUCUUGUUGUGCGAGUUGACCCGGUAGGUUUUGAAUCUGGGAUUUAGGGAGCAGGCGUAGGUGCUCUAGGUGUUUAAGUUUGAUACAAUGUCUCAUGAGAAUGUGCAUUGGCAAUGCUAUAUGUGUAUAGUAUGCUUUUUAUUAUUUGUCAUCUAGUUAAUGAGAUGAGAUAGCAGAUGAAAUUCUUCCAAUUUUUUAGUUGCUGUGCCUGGAAUGUGUUUCUAAUUCCGCAGCAGAACGUGUAGUUGUUCAUUAUAUAUGCCGUUUGAUGAUCACUAAAAAAUAGCUAAUGUUUUUUAGCAGUUUAGAAUUGUUUCCUUGGUUACAUACAGAAAGGCAAACAGUGUUUAGCCCUUGUAUUAAAACACUUUUAUUAUUUGAAUCUUGAAUUCUUAUGAACCUCAGAAGUGGUUAGCAAUUUAUGAAUAUAUCUGGAAAUAGUGUCAAGGAAACUU
rnacentral:lncRNA from 7 species